rnacentral:lncRNA from 1 species
CAUCGUAUAUGCAUAUUUAGAUCGGAUUAUGAUAUAUCUAUUAUGUUACAAAAGAAUUUUGAUGUGCAUCAGAUUUAGAACUCUCAGCCUGGCUAUGUUCUGGAUCCUGCCAAUAGGGGGUUAUGCAUUGGCCAUUCUGGCCCCACCACAGGGUAUAAGUGUGGUAUUCUGGUCCACUCCGCAGGGUAUAAGUGCGGUAUUCUGGCCCACUCCGCAGGGUAUAAGUGCGGUUCUGUUUCUGGCCUAGCCACAGGGUAUAAGUGUGGUCGUAGCUAAAGGCUGAUGAGAUGAAUAUGAUUUGUUUCGAAUCAGAUUUAUGAUUAUGUAUAUAGAUAUUUGAAAAAAUAUGAAUUUUAAUGAAUUUGUGCUUGAAAAGGAAUUGAUUAUGUUAUUAUGUUGAUACAUCGUAAUUUGUAUUUAUAUUUUAUGUUAUUAUAUGAAUUGACUAGUUAAGGUGUUUAUUACUUACUGGGCUGUCUAGCUCAUUAUACAAUUUCUUGUUGUUUUACAGAUUCCGAGAACUAACCUAUCGGGGAUUUAAAAUGGGAGAGCGACUAGAAGAACUGAAGCACAAGUUAUCCUAGAUUAGGCUUUAUUUAAAUUGAUGUUUUAUAUUUAUUGUUCCGCUGCGUAUUUAGAACUGUAAGACUAUAUAAUUUGGGUCAGUCAAUGGAGUAAGAUUGCAUUUAUUUCAGCUGAAUUAUUUUAGUUAUAUUUUUUUGAGAUUUGGUUGAGAUGCCUUGCAUGCUCGUGGGGAGAGUUCCCUACGGGUGUGCGGCGGUUGGCGCGGACCCCCGGCUCGCGAUCUCGGGCCGGGGGCAUGACAACUUUUAUGGUAUCAGAGCAUGAAUGGAUAAAUUCUAAGAUAAGAAAAUCUGACAUGACAUGAGUGUAGGUGGGUAGACACUAGGGACAUUGGGACGUUAGUUUAUGAUGAUUGUAACAACCAUUCUAUGUACUUGUAAUGAACUGGUAAGCUUAUUAUUGGUAUGCUGCUAUCUGAUAGACAUAGAUCAGGAUGCCUCCACGUCGGACGAGAAAGACUACUCGCAGAACUACUAAUAAGGCACCCAACCCGCAAAAUGACAGCACACCCCAACAAGUUGGUAACACCCCUCAGCAGGAGAGAGUCGUCAAUCCUGCUAGUGAUACUCAGACAGGAUAACAAG